AACGAACGCUGGCGGCAGGCCUAACACAUGCAAGUCGAGCGCGUAGCAAUACGAGCGGCGCACGGGAUAGUAACGCGUGGGAACCUACCUUUCGGUUCGGAAUAACAUCGGGAAGCUGGUGCUAAUACCGGAUACGCCCUUCGGGGGAAAGAUUUAUUGCCGAUAGAUGGGCCCGCGUUGGGUUAGCUAGUUGGUGAGGUAACGGCUCACCAAGGCAACGAUCCAUAGCUGGUCUGAGAGGAUGAUCAGCAUCACUGGGACUGAGACACGGCCCAGACUCCUACGGGAGGCAGCAGUGGGGAAUAUUGGACAAUGGGGGCAACCCUGAUCCAGCCAUGCCGCGUGAAUGAUGAAGGCCUUCGGGUUGUAAAGUUCUUUUGGUGGGGACGAUGAUGACGGUACCCACAGAAUAAGCUCCGGCUAACUUCGUGCCAGCCGCCGCCGUAA
rnacentral:rRNA from 1 species